rnacentral:lncRNA from 1 species
UUUUUGAUUUUGCUUACUUUAAAGGGUUCUCCUUUUGCCCCAAUUACUUGUACCUUUUCAGGGGAAACUUUACAUCCCUUAGGUAUUUGCUUAAUAGUUGAUUUCUCAGCCCCAGUGUCUACUAAAAAGGUGAACUCUUGUUUAUGGGGACCUAUUUUUAAUUUUAUCAAGGGCUCAUGAUGACUCCAGUCCCCUAAGAUAUAGAGCCCCUGACUCUCUGCUUGGGGUCCCUGGGCAUGUUGAGCAUCCCACAGUCUCAUUCCUGCUCGUCUAAUCAUAUCUCUUUCCUCGGUAGUAAAUAAUUGACCAAGGAUAGAUUGCAUCUCAUCCCAAGUAUAAAGGUUUGGUCCCAAAAAUUGAUUUAAUCUUUCUGCCACUCCCAGUGGGUCCUCAAUUAAGUUUCCCAUUUCGGUUCUUUUAAAAUCUCGUAGCUCAGCCGAGUUUAGGGGUACGGAAAUAUAUCCGAUCACAGGUUGAGGUCCCCCCAUGGGUAUUUCCCUUAGGGGGGGGUACAUCUGAGCUGCCCCUUUUUGACUUCUAGUUACGCGUUAGGAAGAGAGGGAGACCCUUGUUCCGACUCUGGUGGGGGAGUGGGCGCUCUGGGGACUUCUGCGGGAGCAGAGGAGGAAUGUAAGGAGGGGGGUUAGAAGGGUUUCGUCUAACUCUUCCUUCUUUUUCUUUUGUUUAGUUUUUAUUUCAUUCAGCGGAUAAAGUCUAGCUCUCGGUCUUCUAGCCACACUUCCGCAUAUUGACUCUCCUCCGGGUUAAGGGGUUUUUAUUAUUAACCCAGAGGUUAAUUGCUGUCUUACCCAAUCUUCUUCUGACCCAUAGACUGGGCCAAAAGACAUUUUUAGAAAUCUUCUUCCCUCCCCAUUCUUAGUACAAUAUUCUAUCAUUUUUUGCUUAUCUUUCCCUAGGGUUCCAGGGAAAUAUCUCCAAUUGUCUAAGAUAUAUGCCAGAGGGGUAUUUUUAGGUACAGUGUGUACCCUCCCCAUGGGAGUCGAAGGCUUGCUGCCCUUCGCCCCCAUCUUCUGGAUUAUCCACAAACACACACUCACUCGCUCCCCUUAUUCCUGGCCCAGUCCCUCGCGGGAGGUGGAAAACGCAGUACUAAAGGGUCCACACUCGCUUGGUUCAGUAUAUCGAACCUCUCAUUCGUUAUAAUCCAGGAUACCCAAUCCCGCCCGAACGGCGAACCCGCGAACAACUUCGCACCAAGUGGGAUGCCACAAUUGAUAUUGCCAAUGCAUUUUUCUCAAUCCCUUUGGCAGCAGAGUGCAGGCCACAUUUUGCUUUUAUUUGGAGGGGCGUCCAGUAAGCUUGGAAUUGACUGCCCCAGGGGUGGAAACACAGCCCUACUGUGAGAAACUAUGGACUAGGAUAUUGUUUAUUAAGAUUUAUGUCCUCCCCUUAACCCGGAGGAGAGUCAAUAUGCGGAAGUGUGGCUAGAAAGACCGAGAGCUAGACUUUAUCCGCUGAAUGAAAUAAAAACUAAACAAAAGAAAAAGAAGGAAGAGUUAGACGAAACCCUUCUAACCCCCCCUCCUUACAUUCCUCCUCCUGCUCCCGCAGAAGUCCCCAGAGCGCCCACUCCCCCACCAGAGUCGGAACAAGGGUCUCCCCCUCUUCCUAGACGCGUAACUAGAAGUCAAAAAGGGGCAGCUCAGAUGUACCCCCUAAGGGAAAUACCCAUGGGGGGACCUCAACCUGUGAUCGGAUAUAUUUCCGUACCCCUAAACUCGGCUGAGCUACGAGAUUUUAAAAGAACCGAAAUGGGAAACUUAAUUGAGGACCCACUGGGAGUGGCAGAAAGAUUAAAUCAAUUUUUGGGACCAAACCUUUAUACUUGGGAUGAGAUGCAAUCUAUCCUUGGUCAAUUAUUUACUACCGAGGAAAGAGAUAUGAUUAGACGAGCAGGAAUGAGACUGUGGGAUGCUCAACAUGCCCAGGGACCCCAAGCAGAGAGUCAGGGGCUCUAUAUCUUAGGGGACCGGAGUCAUCAUGAGCCCUUGAUAAAAUUAAAAAUAGGUCCCCAUAAACAAGAGUUCACCUUUUUAGUAGACACUGGGGCUGAGAAAUCAACUAUUAAGCAAAUACCUGAGGGAUGUAAAGUUUCCCCUGAAAAGGUACAAGUAAUUGGGGCAAAAGGAGAACCCUUUAAAGUAAGCAAAAUCAAAAA